rnacentral:lncRNA from 1 species
GCCUGGCCAGCCCUUGACCAAGAACAAGUUCAAAGUCCUUUACGAGAAGGAGCAGAAGGGGCCCGUGACCGCCCUGUGCCACUGCAAUGGCCACCUGGUGUCGGCCAUCGGCCAGAAGCUCUACAUACACCAGAUGAUCAGCGUCAAGAACUUCAUCCUGGCAGCCGACGUCAUGAAGAGCAUUUCGCUGCUGCGCUACCAGGAGGAAAGCAAGACGCUGAGCCUGGUGUCGCGGGAUGCCAAGCCCCUGGAGGUGUACAGCGUGGACUUCAUGGUGGACAAUGCCCAGCUGGGUUUUCUGGUGUCUGACCGCGACCGCAACCUCAUGGUGUACAUGUACCUGCCCGAAGCCAAGGAGAGUUUCGGGGGCAUGCGCCUGCUGCGUCGGGCAGACUUCCACGUGGGUGCCCACGUGAACACGUUCUGGAGGACCCCGUGCCGGGGGGCCACUGAAGGGCUCAGCAAAAAGUCGGUCGUGUGGGAGAAUAAGCACAUCACGUGGUUUG